rnacentral:rRNA from 1 species
GACGAACGCUGGCGGCGUGCUUAACACAUGCAAGUCGAGCGGUGCGGCGAACGGGUGAGUAACGCGUGAGUAACUGCCCCCCUCUCUGGGAUAACAGUUGGAAACGGCUGCUAAUACCGGAUAGUGGGGGAUGACUCGCGCCCUAUCAGCUUGUUGGUGGGGUAGUGGCCUAGCAAGGCGACGCCGGGUAGCCGGCCUGAGAGGGCGACCGGCAACAUUGGGCUGAGAUACGGACCAAUCGCGUACGGUGGGCAGCAGGGGGGAAUAUUGCACAAUGGGGCAAACCCUGAUGCAGCAACGCCGCGGGCGGAAUGACGGCCUACGGGUUGUAAACCGCUUUCAGCCAUGACGCGGUAGUGGCAGAAGAAGCACCGGCUAACUACGUGCCAGCAGCCGCGGUAAUAC